rnacentral:misc_RNA from 1 species
UUGGUUAUGUUUCGUUUACAUUAGCAAGCCGAAGCUUGUGUAGUGUAAGUUCUACAAUCAAUACUGUGAUUUUUUACUUCACCGCACAAAUUUGCAUUCGUGGGAUUAUAAAAGGAUGGGUUUGGUAAAUUUGAAGCCAAGAAUACAAGUACUCUUGACUCCAAAAAAAUUGUUUGGUACGCGGGACAAAACAGUGAAGUCACUCCCGUGAGAGAGCUUCUCCAAAGUUUUUUCUUUUGUUGAAAGGGUGUGGUAAUGAUCCUUCCGCAGGUUCACCUACGGAAA